CCGGACUGCUAACCUGUCACUUUGGACUAAUAUUCAGGUAUCUGUGCUUUUUAACUUUCUGUCGCUGAAGGCGGUUUUUCACCACUUCCGCCUUCGCUGUGAAAGCGCGGCGCGUCCCGCAGCUGCUCGCGCGCUACCGUCCGCGGCUGCGUUGUUGUUGUUUUCAGUAACGGUCGCGUGCGGUGGCUCGAGCUACCUCCGCUGAUUGGUGCCGGGAGUCGUGUCGCCGCGCGCAUGCAGCAGAAUGGCUCGAGCGGUUCCAACGGCUCUGAUGGCUGCGGCAGGGACCGGCAGACCCUGUCCUUCAGCCCGCUGCCCGCCGCGACGACACGGGUGAGGAGGUUCAUUCAGGAGCGACGGACGCUGCCUCUACCCAGAGUGAUGGUGGUGUUCUCGCCCGCGGGUGACACCGAGAAGCCGGGCGAUGCCAUGUCCAGCUCGGACUCUGCGGAGGACGAGUUCCGAAAGCCGGCCUCCCCAGCGCCGAACUUCACCCUGAGCAAGCCGCUCCGGCCCGCGCUGAGCACGCAGGAGCAGGAGUUUCCAGAGGUCAUCUCUCUGAAUGUUGGGGGCACAUAUUUCACCACUCGUCUCUCCACUCUGCGGCGAUUUGAGGACACUAUGCUGGCCGCCAUGUUCAGCGGGCGUCAUUACAUCCCCCGUGACGCUGAGGGGCGCUACUUCAUCGAUCGGGAUGGAACAUAUUUUGGGGACAUCCUGAACUUCCUGCGAGAGGGCGAGCUUCCUCACAGGGAGCGAGUGCGAGCGGUGCACAGGGAGGCUCAGUAUUACGCCAUCGGCCCGCUGCUGGACAGCCUGGAGGACACUCAGCCGCUCACGGGGGAGAAAGUUCGACAGGCCUUCCUCGACCUGCUGCCCUACUACAAAGAGAAUCUGGAGCGAAUCGUGGAGAUUGCCAAACUGAGGGCGAUGCAGAAGAAGGCGCGAUUCGCCAAGCUGAAGAUCUGCGUGUACAAGGAGGAGAUGCCGAUCACGCCGUACGAGCGGCCCCUCUUUAACUCUCUGCGCUUUGAGCGCUCGGACAGCGAGGCCAAACUCUUCGAGCACCACUGCGAGGUGGACGUUUCCUUCGGGCCGUGGGAGGCGGUGGCGGACGUCUACGACCUGCUGCACUGCAUCGUCGGCGACCUCGCCGAGCGCGGCAUCGCCGCCGAGCAGCAGUGCAUCGGCGUCUGCGACAAGCACCUCAUCAACCAUUACUACUGCAAGAGGCCCAUCUACGAGUUUAAGAUCACCUGGUGGUGAGGCUGCGGGGGGGGGGGGUCACGGCCGAUCGGACCGAAACCCAAACGACGGAUGAUGUUUCAUUUUUACUGUCACUCGGCCGAUGUUGGUUUUUGUAUCGAAGUUGCCAAUAUUUUGUGCUGAUGUCUUAAAAUGUGACCCUUUAAAUCAUAAUCGACUGUUUCCUCAAAAUAUGUUUCUGUCCUUUCACAUCGAAAAACACUCACACACAGGUGAAACAGGUCAGACAGGUGAGACAGGUCAGACAGGUCAGACAGGUCAAACAGGUGAAACAGCGAUUCUCUCCAGUGAAAUUCAGGCCAAUGAAAACACGACUGUGUCAGAGUGCUGUAGUCCUCCACACCUUGACGCAGUGAUGCACAGGUGUCCUCCAGGACCUCGUGACAUCACUGACGGGUGGUUACAGGUGCGACAAAGGACACUUCAGACCUGAUGAAGAGGAGGUGAACCAGGCCUAAAACACAAAGCAGAGAGGGCCGAGAAACUGCUGCUCAGCCUGCCGCUGAGCUCCUGCAGACCUGAUUCUGAACAGUCUGGACUCUGAAACAAGCAAAACCAGAAUCAGUCAAACCUACAGCAGUUCUACCAAGUGUCUUCAUCCAAUCAUGUGCUGACAAAGUGUUGACCCUCGCUCCAUCCUCGCUGUGAACCACUGAGCCUGUCAAUCAUGAUACUCUCACCUGUUACCAAUCAGCCUGU